rnacentral:rRNA from 1 species
AUGGUCGAAGGCUCGGAGAUGGACAUCUCCAACCUCAAGUUCCUCCUCCUCUGCUUCCAACAAAUGUCUGGCCUUAAGAUAAACUUCGACAAGAGUGAUGUAAUAGUGAUGGGCUAUUCUCCAGCUGAGUGUCUGGCCAUUGCCAACCGGCUUAACUGCCACCUGGGCUCCUUCCUCACGACCUACUUGGGAACACGCAUUAGUGACUCCCGGCUCUCCGUCGCGGACUUGCGCCCGACCGUGGCCAAGCUUCAAAUGCGCAUCGAGCCAUGGCAGGGUAGAUGCUUGUCAAAGGCGGCGUGGACAAUUCUCAUUAACUCAUCCCUCUCUAGCCUCCUCUUGUUCCUCAUGAGGUUCUACAGCCUUCACGAGACUCUGCACCAUGAGAUCGCCAAAGUCCAGUCUCGUUUCUAUUGGGCUGGCGACAACAAUAAGCAAAAAUACCAUAUGGUCAGUUGGCCUGACAUUUGCAAGCCCAAGGAACAAGGAGGCCUCGGUAUUAUGUGCUCUAAGCGCAUGAAUAUCGCCCUCCUAUCAUGAUGGCUCUGGCGCAUCUCGCAAGGUCACGGUGGCCUCUGGCUCGACAUCAUCCGGAACAAGUACCAACGUGGACAGCCCCUCGCCUUCUAUCAGAGAUCGGGCGGCUCCCAGUUUUGGCAGUCGGUCGUCCAACUUCUACCUGUUCUCCGCAUUGGGACCUCCAUCUGGGUGGGCUCCGGGGACGCUCCCUUCGCUGCGCGCUUCCCCGACCUCUUCUCCAUCGCUGUCGACCCUUUGAUCUCAGUUGAGAGGGCCCUUAUUGACUUAGGGUGCCUCGCUUUCCAGAGGCCAUUUGGGCCCCCGGAGUCUGCCGCGUGGCGUGAGUUACUGGAUUGCGUCGCUCUCCACGAGCCGAUUGUGGACGGUGGCCCAGACCAGGUGCGAUGA